rnacentral:rRNA from 1 species
ACGGGGGGGGCAAGCGUUGUUCGGAAUUACUGGGCGUAAAGGGCGCGUAGGCGGUCUACUAAGUUGGAUGUGAAAACUCUGGGCUUAAUCCAGAGCCUGCAUUCAAAACUGAUAGGCUGGAGUUCUGGAGGGGAUAGCGGAAUUCCUGGUGUAGCGGUGAAAUGCGUAGAUAUCUGGAGGAACACCGGUGGCGAAGGCGGCUUCCUGGACCAGUACUGACGCUGAGGCGCGAAAGCUAGGGGAGCAAACAGGA